rnacentral:tRNA from 1 species
UGGGGUGUAGCCAAGCGGUAAGGCACGGGACUUUGACUCCCGCAUUCGUAGGUUCAAAUCCUCCCACCCCAGCCA